rnacentral:rRNA from 1 species
UGCCUAACACAUGCAAGUCGAACGAAGCAAUUAAGAUGAAGUUUUCGGAUGGAAUCUUGAUUGACUGAGUGGCGGACGGGUGAGUAACGCGUGGAUAACCUGCCUCACACUGGGGGAUAACAGUUAGAAAUGACUGCUAAUACCGCAUAAGCGCACAGUGCCGCAUGGCAGUGUGUGAAAAACUCCGGUGGUGUGAGAUGGAUCCGCGUCUGAUUAGCCAGUUGGCGGGGUAACGGCCCACCAAAGCGACGAUCAGUAGCCGACCUGAGAGGGUGACCGGCCACAUUGGGACUGAGACACGGCCCAAACUCCUACGGGAGGCAGCAGUGGGGAAUAUUGCACAAUGGGCGAAAGCCUGAUGCAGCGACACCGCGUGAGUGAAGAAGUAUUUCGGUAUGUAAAGCUCUAUCAGCAGGGAAGAAAAUGACGGUACCUGACUAAGAAGCCCCGGCUAACUACGUGCCAGCAGCCGCGGUAAUACGUAGGGGGCAAGCGUUAUCCGGAUUUACUGGGUGUAAAGGGAGCGUAGACGGCGAAGCAAGUCUGAAGUGAAAACCCAGGGCUCAACCCUGGGACUGCUUUGGAAACUGUUUUGCUAGAGUGUCGGAGAGGUAAGUGGAAUUCCUAGUGUAGCGGUGAAAUGCGUAGAUAUUAGGAGGAACACCAGUGGCGAAGGCGGCUUACUGGACGAUAACUGACGUUGAAGCUCGAAAGCGUGGGGAGCAAACAGGAUUAGAUACCUUGGUAGUUCACGCAGUAAACGAUGAAUGAUAGGUGUUGGGGGGCAAAGCCCUUCGGUGCCGCCGCAAACGCAGUAAGCAUUCCACCUGGGGAGUACGUUGGCAAGAAUGAAACUCAAAGGAAUUGACGGGGACCCGCACAAGCGGUGGAGCAUGUGGUUUAAUUAGAAGCAGCGCGAAGAACCUUAUCAAGUCUUGACAUCCUCCUUACGGGCCGGUAACGCGGCCUUUCCUUCGGGACAGGGGAGACAGGUGGUGCAUGGUGGUCGUCAGCUCGUGUCGUGAGAUGAUGGGUUAAGUCCCGCAACGAGCGCAACCCUUAUCGUUAGUAGCCAGCACGUGAAGGUGGGCACUCUAGGGAGACUGCCAGGGAUAACCUGGAGGAAGGUGGGGAUGACGUCAAAUCAUCAUGCCCCUUAUGAUUUGGGCUACACACGUGCUACAAUGGCGUAAACAAAGGGAAGCGAGACAGUGAUGUGGAGCAAAUCCCAAAAAUAACAUCCCAGUUCGGACUGUAGUCUGCAACCCGACUACACGAAGCUGGAAUCGCUAGUAAUCGCGAAUCAGAAUGUCGCGGUGAAUACGUUCCCGGGUCUUGUACACACCGCCCGUCACACCAUGGGAGUCAGCAACGCCCGAAGUCAGUGACCCAACCGAAAGGAGGGAGCUGCCGAAGGCGGGGCAGGUAACUGGGGUGAA